UUGAUCACGUCUAGCUUGAAAGUGUUGUCCUGGACUGAAUGUUCAACAAUGUAGAUCCAGGAAGCCUUCUUUGCAACAUAUCAUCGGUGUGUUUCUGCUCCCUUAUGGACAUUAAUCCUCACCCUCCUCUCUGCUGUCUGUCCUCCGGUGGCCCGCGGAGCCUCUGUGACGCAGGAGAGAGCAGGACUUUCCGGGUUCUGCUGUCAGCACUACCGGGGAUGAGAUGUGUGUGUUCUGAAUUUCAUUCUGAGGCAUCAUCGUUAAAUUAAACUUGCACAAUGAGGAUCUUCGUGUCUCUGCUGAAAAGCACCAACCCUAAAAUCGAGUUUUACUCCAGGUUCUCCCCCUCCCCUCUCUCCAUUAAGCAGUUUCUGGAUUUUGGCCGGGACAAUGCUUGUGAGAAAACAUCGUACAUGUUCCUGCGUAAGGAGCUGCCGGUGCGUCUGGCCAACACCAUGAGGGAGACCAACCUGCUGCCGGACCCCCUGCUGGGCAUGCCCUCCGUCAGACUGGUGCAGAAAUGGUACAUGCAAAGCUUCGUGGAGCUGUUGGAGUAUGAGAACAGAAAGCCGGAGGACCCUCAGGCUCUGAAUGAUUUCCUGGACCUGUUGAUUGAGAUCCGUAACCGGCACAACGACGUGGUUCCCACCAUGGCGGCGGGGGUCAUCGAGUACAAGGAGAAGUUCGGCUUCGACCCGUUCAUCAGCAGCAACAUCCAGUACUUCCUGGACCGAUUCUACACCAACCGCAUCUCCUUCCGCAUGCUCAUCAACCAGCACACUCUUCUGUUCGGUAACGACACAAACCCUGCACACCCCAAACACAUCGGCAGCAUCGACCCCACCUGCAGCGUGGCUGAAGUCGUCACUGAUGCCUACGACACAGCCCGGAUGCUCUGUGAGAAAUAUUACCUAGCUGCUCCCAAGCUGAAGAUUGAAGAGUUCAACAUGAAGGCCCCCGAUAAGCCCAUCCAGGCGGUGUACGUUCCCUCUCAUCUGUUCCACAUGCUGUUCGAGCUCUUCAAGAACUCGAUGAGAGCCACGGUGGAGCUUCACGAGGACAACGUGGAGGGGUUACCUCCAGUGAAGGCCAAGGUCACUCUGGGUAAAGAGGAUCUCUCUGUGAAGAUCAGCGACAGAGGAGGAGGAGUUCCCCUGAGGAAGAUCGACCGUCUGUUUAACUACAUGUACUCCACGGCUCCUACACCCAGCCUGGAGCCAGGCACUGUGCCACUGGCUGGAUUUGGCUACGGUUUGCCGAUUUCCAGGCUCUACGCCCGAUACUUCCAGGGGGAUCUGAAACUGUACUCCAUGGAUGGCGUUGGCACCGACGCCGUUAUCUAUCUGAAGCUCCGGCGAUCCACUAGCACCGGAGCCUCCACCUGCAGAUGCAGCCAUCCUCAUCAACUAUACUGUAGCGUCACCUUGGAUAUGAGUCCAAACAACUCACAGACUGCACCGGGCGCUGAAAUUACCGCCCUUUGAGCAUCAGAUCUGACGACGCUGAUUGGCUGAAAUUAUGUUUUGGCGGCAUAGUUUACAGAUAGCAACAGUCAGCAAUGUGUUGGAUGCUGCUGGGGCUGAGUGAGGGCUCCUUUCUUACCGCCCAGACAAGAGAGGGCUCUCUCCAGCGAGUCCUUCGAGCGUCUUCCCGUCUUCAACAAGUCUGCGCUGCGACACUACAAGACGAGCCCCGAGGCGGACGACUGGAGCAACCCCAGCCGAGAGCCAAGAGACGCCAGCAAGUCCAAUUACAAAGCCAAGCGAUAACUCUGACCCCCUGCUGGGAGCAAGCACGAUGAAGCAUUGCCCUUGGGCUCUGAUCGGACCUGCUUUAACAUUCCUGAUGUUUGGACCAUAUUGUAUGACUUAUUUCUGCACCCAAAGACAAUGAGAUUCAUCUGCGUAGCUUUUAUUGUCGUGGCAUCUUUGUUUUGGCCGCUGCUUUCCUGUGGCUGAAUAAACCCUGCGAUGCUUUCUCACCGUCAGCUGAGGGAAGGUUUUCUGUCUCUGCCGCUCAAACACCAGCAGAGACCAGAGAGGUUUGAGUUUCAGUGCAGAUGGGAAGAAUAGGAGGUUUCAUUUCCUUCCUUUGGGAGACACUUUUGAACCGAGCGCACAAUCAGGCCAGUGUGUCGUUGGCAGAGUAAACACUAGUUUUGUAUUUAAGCCUGAGAACAUAGAGAAACUGUUUUGGGAAAAUUAUAGAAAGCCAUGCAUCAAGAGCACGAUUUAUAUUUAAAGAUCUAGAAGCUUUAUUUCAAAGAGAGAAGUUUUUUUAUGUUUUAAAAAGCUGCCUUGAAGGCUGUGGAGAUUUAAGAUCAUUAACAGUGGGAUAAUAUUUUGUUUCUAUUUUACAUCUUCACUCCUUUAAGUCAACUGUACGCCCACCUAAGCUAGGGCUGCAACCAAUACAUAUUUUAGGUAUCGAUUAAUUAAUUAUUCUCUAGAUAAUUGUUUGGAAUGUAAAGCAGCAAAGAUUAGUACAAAAUGUCCUCUAGUACUCUAAAGUCAAAGCUGAUGUCUUUACAUGUUUAGUCAGUCCAAAACACAAAAACCUACUUGAAUAUGAUAAGGCAAGGCAAGGCAAGGCAAGGCAAGGCAAGUUUAUUUAUAUAGCACCUUUCAACACAAGGCAAUUCAAAGUGCUGAUCAAAUCUGAUCAAAAUAGUUUCUGAUUAUUUGUAUUCUAACCCCUGUAAUUCACACAUACUAUUGAUCGACAAUACUGAGGGACAUUUCUGCUUGCAAGCCAGCUCUCAUACCUUCUACUUUUGGUAUUAUGUUAUGAAUGAGUUAUGAACACAGUUUGUGUAUUUUUAUCACCCUUUAAGUUCAUUUUAAGCGAGGAACACAGGGUUUGAUUUGUAUCGUUGAAAUUGAAACAGCAUUAACUGUUCAAAUGGUAUCUUACUGUAAUGUUUGUUUAUUUAAACAAAAGGAAAUCAAGUCUUUAGAAAGAGAGUUGGGGUAAAUAUCAAAACUUAAUUCUGAAUAAUCCGAUUUUCUUCUUCUGAAUGUUAAAUGUAAGACUAAAUUAUCUUUGUACUAAAUGAUAGCGCUAAACACGUGAUUUUUCACAUGAAUCACAUUAAGGGAACUUAUUUGUGCGCUUUCUGACCCAACAUGUAUUCUUCCUUCAAAUAACUUCACACAAUCACAUCAUACCUACUUUUUUGGACACACAGAAGAUUAAUUAUGAUCUGCAGAGAUCCAAGGUCACCACUUGUAUCUGAACACCUUCAUAGUAGCAAUAUCCUUUUUGGUAAACUACUGAAAAAUCAAGCAUGGCUCGCACCGCGUGUUAAGAAUUGAAAUGAUCUGAAGUGACUUCCUUCUCUCGUCUCCUUCAACUCCCUCUGAUCCCAAAAGAAAGGAGAGUAGCUGAAGAGUUCAUCACUGCCGAUGCCUUCAAACCUGCCAGUCUCCCUGAGGGACAAACCUGCAGUAACGAGUGUCGGUCGGACGCUCAGAGAAACUGUCCUUUUUUUAUUUAAAAUGCCUCCGCUCACCACCUGUAAUCACAUUUAACAGCUACGUUUGAAUUGUGUGAUUUUAAGAGGCGUCUUGAGUAGUCGUGGACCUUUACUGUUAAAGACUACUUUGUGUAUUUUAGUAAAUAUUGUGUAUCCAAUGAUGUGUUUGCAGUACAGUGUGGAGUGAUCUCUGUGUUCUAUCUUCCUGUACCUCCAGCUUUGUGCAUGAACCCCUUGCUGUGUAGGCGGUCAUGAAAAAAUAUGCAAAAUGGUGAUGGAGCAGUCUGAUAUCAGCAUGAGACAAUAAAUAACAUUUUGCUGUUGUGUGCCAUUUUCCUGCAUCGUUUGUUUGGAUAAAAAGGCGAAAUGCACUUUCAA